rnacentral:ncRNA from 1 species
CUAAUCUUAUUUGAAUCUGGGCCUUACAAUUGUAAAUGAGAAAGAAACUCAUGAGAAUAAGAUAUCACAUUAAAUACUGAUAAUAUUUA